GGGCCCGCACAAGCGGUGGAGCAUGUGGUUUAAUUCGAUGAUACGCGAGGAACCUUACCAGGGCUUAAAUGCAGAACGACAGAGGUGGAAACACCUCCUUCUUCGGACGGUCUGCAAGGUGCUGCAUGGUUGUCGUCAGCUCGUGCCGUGAGGUGUCAGGUUAAGUCCUAUAACGAGCGCAACCCCUAUCGUUAGUUGCCAGCACGUAAUGGUGGGAACUCUAGAGAAACUGCCUACGCAAGUAGAGAGGAAGGCGGGGACGACGUCAAGUCAUCACGGCCCUUACGUCCUGGGCCACACACGUGCUACAAUGGUAGAUACAGAGGGCAGCUAUCCCGCGAGGGAAUGCAAAUCUCGAAAGUCUAUCUCAGUUCGGAUUGGAGUCUGCAACUCGACUCUAUGAAGCUGGAAUCGCUAGUAA
rnacentral:rRNA from 1 species